GUACUGACGAAGAGUCCCAAACUAGAACGAAACAGUUGUCUAGUAC
rnacentral:hammerhead_ribozyme from 1 species